AAGACACCCCCACCAAAUUUUCGCACUCGGGUUUUCGUUUCAGUCAAACACCACGUGGAAAUUGGAAAUGGACUCAGAAAUCGACGACGCUUCCUCUUCCAUGACUUUAACCAUGGAUGUUACGCCUAGAUUCAUUGCUCUAAUGCCUGAAUUACCGAAUUUUGAUUCAGCGGCGUAAACAUCUUAAUUUUACCAAGGAAAAUGGCAAGCUGUGCAGUGGAAGGAGGCUGUGCUACUGACUACUUGGCUAUUGCCAUAUCCAUGCUAGCUAUGAUCUUGCUUCUCUCACGGUUGAUUUUACCCUUUGUGGUUCACAAAGUUCCUCGUACAAAAAACAGUGGCUUCUGGAUUCCAGUAAUCCAAGUUUUUGCUAGCUUCAACCUGCUGUUGUCGAUUGUGAUGUCCGUCAAUUUCCUCAAAUUCAAGAAGAGGCAUUGGUGGCAGUCUUGCUAUGUUUGGGCAGUCUGGUUUGAAGGCCCUCUUGGAUUUGGUUUGCUGCUAAGCUGUCGUUUGACACAGGCCUUCCAACUAUAUUACAUAUUUGUCAAGCGGCGUUUACCACCAAUCAGAUCUUAUAUAAUUCUUCCACUUAUUAUAUUCCCAUGGAUUGCUGGGGCUGCAUUUAUCCAUAUGAAGCAGCCUCUAAAUUAUAGGUGCCAUAUGGGGGCUUACUGGAUCAUUCCAGUCGUUUCACUCCACAUAUCAUAUGUUUUUGCUUUAGUUGGAUUCACUGGGGCUGUUCGGCAUAUAGACUUCAGGUUUGAUGAACUCAGAGACCUCUGGCGAGGAAUACUUGUCUCAGCAUCUUCCAUUGUAUUAUGGGUCCCUGCUUACGUCUUGAAUGAAAUUCAUGAUGAUAUCUCAUGGCUUCAGGUUGCCUCCAGAUUUCUCCUUUUGAUUAUGGCAAGUAUUUUAGUGCUAGCUUUCUUCUCUAUAUCAAGUUCACAACCUCUACUCUCACAAAUCAGCUUAAGGAAAAGGGAGUCUCGAGAGUUUGGGUCAAUGGGCGAGGCUCUGGGUAUACCUGACAGUGGACUUCUACUGCAGAGGGAACCAGCUCAAGUCAUAGAUCCUAAUGAACCAUUGGAUAAGCUUCUUCUAGACAAAAGAUUUCGCCAGUCCUUCAUGGCAUUUGCAGAUAGUUGUUUGGCCGGGGAGAGUGUGCAUUUCUAUGAUGAGGUGCAUGAGCUUGGUAAAAUAUCUCUAGAUGACUCUGUAAGAAGGAUAUAUAUGGCACGACAUAUUAUUGACAAGUACAUAGUUGCAGGUGCGGCAAUGGAGGUAAACAUUUCUCACCGAAGCCGACAAGAAAUUUUGACUACUGCUGAUCUGGCGCACCCUACUCUCUUCAGUAAUGCGUUAAAUGAGCUGAUGCAAUUGAUAAAAAUGCUUAAAUAGUCUCAUUGUCAUCUUCAUUCCAAUCUCAUCUUGUUUCACAGCAUAGCUCACCAACUUUACCACCACCAAAGCCACCACAAAUUCCAAUGUCAGACAGUCAAAGUCAAUUCUCAAAUUGAAAUGAUAUUCUUGUGUUAAUUCACUUAAUUGUAAUGUUGCUAUAAUUUGUCCCUUAAUUGUUUAUUGUGUUAUCAUAUUUUAUUUAAAUUAUGUGACAACUUAUAAUAUUUUUAAGAUGAAUUUGUAAUUUUGUAAUAGUUUUAUCUUACUUUGUAUUAUUGUAAUUUAUGAUUAUUAGUUGCAACUGAGUAGUAUAUAAUUUAUGUUAUCAUAUACUAUUAUUUUUAUUUAUAUUUUUGUAUUUUUUUAAGUUAAUUUUUGUGUUCAAAAUGGUUCAAAAAUGUUUUGGGCUAGUUUUGGCCCACUAUAAGUGUUUUUUAGCCCAAAACGUGUUCUAGUCUGUCCCUGCACCCCAGCAUCCAGAUGGGACAUCCGUGUGUGGGGGUGGGUCCCAAGGGAAAACCCUAGCCCUAGCCCAUGCGCUAGGGGGUACCUUGCCCCAUAAUAUGCAAGUAGCACCACUAAUUUAAACAACAGUUACUAAUGAAAAAUUCUUUUGAAAUCAAGUUAGAAGUUGAUUGAUUCCUAACUAAAAGUUGUGAAAAACAAUAUGUGAGUUUUGACAUUCUAAAUUGAUAGAUGGUUAGUUCAUUUAGAUAUUGCAUACUUUCAAAAAUUAUACGUGAUGUACUUGCAACAUUGAUAUCUACACUGGCUUCUAAAUCUACAUUUAGCAUGAUAAGUCUCAUUUUUAAAAUAGUUUAUCUUCGAUGAUAGUAAAGGGCCUUCUUUAUGCACAAAAUUGACUUCGCUCUUCUUCUACUUCAAUUAGACUUCGACUUUAAUGGAUAACCUAGAUGAUUUUGAGAAACAACUAAAUAUGGUAGGAUGCUGCUGGCAAUCACUGUACACUGGCCUGUCAUAACCACUCCACUAUGCAUUGGCCUGUCAAAAGGAGCAUUCUUGAAGUAUUCUUUCAGAAGAAAUAUAGGUGGAAAGUUGUCAACCAACUUGAAGUCACAAAUCUAAUAGCCUUGCCAUACAACUUCCUAUCACAAGGGCAGUGGGGGCUUCUUCAAUGAUUUAUGUACGCUCAAUUUACCGAACUUUGCCAAAGUCUCAUCCAAAUCUAUAAUCUAGCAAAAUCAUUAAAUGGGUACUCCUAACACGAGCAGAUCUUGGUCACUUCCUAGAUUGCAUGGCUCCAACACAAGCAGCCUCUAGUUUCUCAGUGAAAUCCAAAAGUUCAACAUUCCUAUCCAGCUUCGUCCUGUAAAUCAAAACAUUGUUAGAUACUCAUACAACAUAUGUUUAUGGAAAGAGUGAAUGAAAUACUCAUAUAACUGUUUUUCA